rnacentral:lncRNA from 11 species
CUCGAAGAAAGGUGGUUACAGGUAAGCAACCUUUCCUUAUUCGCAUUAUUGCCUGUUUCUUCUUCCUGCCAUAUAUGUGAAGAAAUGCAUUCCUGACAAGGUUCUCUGUAGCUAUCCUGUCAUUGAGAGAUUUGUUUAUAUUGAUGUGAAAUUAUCUGCAUAUGAGAAACUCUUCCCAAUUCAUGUGAUCGCUCUUUUCUUCUUCCCAUCUUACAUGUGGAUAUAUGUCUUUCUGGCUAGAUUCUCUUUAGCUAUCCUCAUGGAGGUACAUUUAUAUUGAUCUAUGAAAAGCGUGGAGAGAAAGUUUUCCUGGGCCAUUCUGUCUUGCUUCUGAGAGACUCUUCCCGAUUAGCAUUAUUGCUCUUUCCUUCUUUCUGACAUACAUGUGGAGAUACAGAUUUCUGGCAAGGUCCUCUAUAGCUAUCCUGUUAUGUGGAGGUGUGUUUAUAUUGAUAUGUGAAUAUAUUGAUUUGCGAUCAUCUGCAUAUGAGAAACUCUUCCCACUUUGCAUGAUUGCUCUUUUCUUCUUCCUGUCUUACAUGUAGAUAUACGUCUUUCUGGCAAGGUCCUCUUUUCCCAUCCUGUCUUGCAGAGGUACUUUCACAUAUGUGGAUAUAUUUAUGGGUGACUAUCAGCAUCUAUUUCUCUUUAAUAUAUAUAUGAGGAAGGAAAAGUCUUCCUCUGGAUGUUUAUCUUGCACUAAUUCAAAUUGAAAAUUCACCUGGUGAGAAAGAUUGUGUAACCCACUGGCUGCUCGAUGGCUAAGAGUCUGUGCACCGAGUGGAACAUUUGAAGGAAUGAUUUGAAACCACCAGGUAAGACAUUUUGAAGGAAUGAUUUAUAACUAUCAGAUAAGGGAUUUUCAAUGAAUUAAUUGCAAUCACCAGGUAAGGGACUUUUAAGGAAUGUUUCCAACUACCAGGUAAAUAAAGGAUUUGCAGGUAGGUGAUUCCAUAACACACAGUAAAAUAGCUUCAGGAAGGAUUUGCAAACACCAGGUUAAUGUGUACUCCCUCUGUAAUUGUGGAACCAACCAGUUUCCUCUAGGUUUGAUCCGGUAAACAGCUAUCCAUCAAGAGAAGUUGAAUAAUGUCCAUAUUGAAGAUAUUUGAGACAAUCUGAGCACCGCAUCCAUUCUUACACUGCAAGGUGAAACACAUUUUUUGGCUCUAAAUGUUCUUGAAGACAUUUGUAGAUUUAACAUUCUUUUUUUUUUUUACACUUAUCAAUGAUGCAUAAUGCUUUUCCCCCCUUGCAGCACAUCAGAUCCCUCCGAGUGAAUGGGAACAG